GGACUACCCGGGUAUCUAAUCCCGUUCGCUCCCCUGGCUUUCGCGCACUCAGCGUCAGUGAAGGUCCAGCAUGCCGCCUUCGCCACCGGAGUUCCUGAUGAUAUCAACACAUUUCACCGCUCCACCAUCAGUUCCGCAUGCCCCUACCUUACUCAAGACACCCAGUAUCAAAGGCAGUUCCCCAGUUAAGCUGGGGGAUUUCACCCCUGACUUGAAUGCCCGCCUACGCGCCCUUUAAGCCCAGUGAUUCCGAACAACGUUCGCACGGUUCGUCUUACCGCGGCUGCUGGCAC
rnacentral:rRNA from 2 species